ACAGACGCCUCCCUGUACCCGAGGAAGGAGAGGACGAGGGUGAUGGUGCAGGUUUCCAUGAGGACCCACCUGUCCCACUACCACCUGUACCUGGACGAGUUCGGGAAGGUCUGCUCUACAGGGAUGAGUUUGUCAACCUUCACUUCAUUGACAGACCUCAACCUCAGCCUCGUGCAGCUGUGUGAUGCUUCCCGACCCAUCAACAGGUUAAUUCCACACCUACUUCCAACUCUGCAGCCUGCAGUUCAAGUUCUCUCUUCAGGCGGAUGAACUGCAGCUCCUCCUCAUCCACCAACAUGGUGCAGGUCCCAACUGGUGUACUGGAGGAAGCUGCAGCGGCAGGAACUACUGGUGGUGGUGUGGUGGUGGUUUGAGGUGUGUCUGUGCUGGGUUGGGGAGGGACAGGUGGUGUGACAUCCACCUGAAGACUCCUGGCAAAAAUACAUCCAUCAGUACCUGCACUCAUAAUUUUCUUGUGUUAUUUGACUUACAUCCCCAUUUAUGGAAACACUACAGUUUAUGUUGAAAAGCUUUUGCAGGAAAGGAGUGUGUGUUCCAGAGUGUGUGUUCCAGAGUGUGUUCAUGAGUAAGCAGACCUGACCGAGGUCAGACGUGGGUCACGGCGCUCCGAAUGGAGUAGCCCGGUGCCAGCCUGUUGGCCUCUCCCCUGCCCCUCCAUCCCCCUCUUCCUUUUCAUCAAAAACCCAACAUCGUAAGAAACUAUUGUGACAUCAAGCUUAAUCAUG